UACGUAGGGUGCAAGCGUUGUCCGGAAUUAUUGGGCGUAAAGAGCUCGUAGGCGGUUUGUUGCGUCGGCUGUGAAAUCCCGAGGCUCAACCUCGGGUCUGCAGUCGAUACGAGCAAACUAGAGUGUUGCAGGGGAGACUGGAAUUCCUGGUGUAGCGGUGAAAUGCGCAGAUAUCAGGAGGAACACCGGUGGCGAAGGCGGGGUCUCUGGGCCGUAACUGAC
rnacentral:rRNA from 1 species